rnacentral:rRNA from 1 species
AUACGGAGGGCGCAAGCGUUGUUCGGAAUUACUGGGCGUAAAGCGCGUGUAGGCGGCUUGGCAAGUCGGGUGUGAAAUCCCGGGGCUCAACCCCGGAACUGCAUUCGAAACUGCCUGGCUAGAGUCCCGGAGAGGAAGGCGGAAUUCCCGGUGUAGAGGUGAAAUUCGUAGAUAUCGGGAGGAACACCAGCGGCGAAGGCGGCCUUCUGGACGGUGACUGACGCUGAGACGCGAAAGCGUGGGGAGCAAACAGGAUUAGAAACCCCGGUAGUCC